UACGAAGGGGGCUAGCGUUGCUCGGAAUCACUGGGCGUAAAGCGCACGUAGGCGGACUCUUAAGUCGGGGGUGAAAUCCUGGAGCUCAACUCCAGAACUGCCUUCGAUACUGGAGAGCUUGAGUCCGGGAGAGGUGAGUGGAACUGCGAGUGUAGAGGUGAAAUUCGUAGAUAUUCGCAAGAACACCAGUGGCGAAGGCGGCUCACUGGCCCGGUACUGACGCUGAGGUGCGAAAGCGUGGGGAGCAAACAGG
rnacentral:rRNA from 1 species